rnacentral:tRNA from 1 species
GCGGGUGUAGUUCAAUGGUAGAACGCGAGCUUCCCAAGCUCGCAGCGUGGGUUCGAUUCCCAUCACCCGCUCCA